CCCCCCCCCCCCCCCCCCCACACAGAGAGAGUCAUAGAGGAGGGAGGCUGCUCCCCCACAGAGAGAGUCAUAUAGAGGAGAGGAGGGAGGCUGCCCCCCACAGAGAGAGUCAUAUAGGGUAGAGGAGGGAGGCUGCCCCCCACAGAGAGAGUCAUAUAGGUUAGAGGAGGGAGGCUGCCCCCCACAGAGAGAGUCAUAUAGAGGAGGGAGGUUGCCCACCCACACAGAGAGUCAUAUAGAGGAGAGGAGGGAGGCUGCCCCACACAGAGAGAGUCAUAUAGAGGAGGGAGGCUGCCCCCCACAGAGAGAGUCAUAUAGAGGAGAGGAGGGAGGCUGCCCCACACAGAGAGAGUCAUAUAGAGGAGGGAGGCUGCCCCCCAUAGAGAGAGUCAUAUAGAGGAGAGGAGGGAGGCUGCCCCACACAGAGAGAGUCAUAUAGAGGAGGGAGGCUGCUCCCCCACAGAGGCUCUAGACGUCUCUAGACUAUUGACAUGGAGAGGAGGAGGCGUCUCUAGACUAUUGACAUGGAGAGGAGGAGGCGUCUCUAGACUAUUGACAUGGAGAGGAGGAAGCGUCUCUAGACUAUUGACAUGGAGAGGGGGAAGCGUCUCUAGAC